ensembl:lncRNA
GGAAAUGUUAACUAGCUAACGAACUUUCUGUGAACUCAUGUUUUCACUCUACAGUAUGUGGUUAAUUUUCAGAAUGAGAUAAUUAGGUGAAAAAAUGAGGCGUUGCUUGUUAAACAAGUGGAUUCAGGGAUCAAGUGUAGCUGGAGCUGGGCCUGACUUAAACUGGAUGCCACUAUAGAGGUGAAAGAAAUACCACUUUCCCUCUUUCAAUACAGUGGAUAAGAAGGGGUGUGCCAGGUGUGUUCUCUGCCUGAAAGACAAAGAGAUCAAUUAUACCAACGAAGGGUCUCCUGCUCUGCUGGCACUUUGUAGAACAGAUGUCCCCAUGGCAGAAAGUGUGCAGUGUGUUAGUGUGCAGUGUGUUAGUGUGCAGUGUGUUAGUGUGCAGUGUGUUAGUGUGCAGUGUGUUAGUGUGCAGUGUGUUAGUGUGCAGUGUGUUAGUGUGCAGUGUGUUAGUGUGCAGUAUGUUAGUGUGCAGUAUGUUAGUGUGCAGUAUGUUAGUGUGCAGUAUGUUAGUUGUAUUAGUGUGUUAGUGUGUUAAUGUGCAGUGUGUU